UUAAUUGAAGCCAAAAAGAGGCAUAUUACUGUUAAUGAUAUCAUUGAAUUAUAAUUCCAAUUAAA
rnacentral:tRNA from 1 species